rnacentral:lncRNA from 1 species
GAGGUGGGGGUGGAGGUGAAUAGACUGGUGGUGGAGGCGGGGGAGGUGAUGGAGGAGGUGGAGAGGGUGGUGGUGGCGGUGGUGAAUAAACUGGAGGUGGAGGAGGUGGUGGGGAAGGAGAAGGAGGAGUAUAAACUGGUGGCGGAGGCGAAUAAACAGGUGGCGGAGGGGCAGGCAAGGGCGGUGAAAGUGGCGGAGGAGGUGGCAAAACAGGAACAAAUUUAUGACACCUGAAAGCACUACAAUGAAUUUUUUUAGACAAAAAGGCCUUACACUGUCCCGGAGAGCGUUGCACCGGUCUGUUGGGCAAACAAUUCCGUUCAUCAUGAAACUCCGGCAACCCCAAACACACCGGCGGUUCACCAGUGAAGAAAUUAUAAGA